rnacentral:rRNA from 1 species
GGUUAAGCGACUAAGCGUACACGGUGGAUGCCCUGGCAGUCAGAGGCGAUGAAGGGCGUGCUAAUCUGCGAUAAGCGCCGGUAAGGUGAUAUGAACCGUUAUAACCGGCGAUACCCGAAUGGGGAAACCCAGUGUGAUUCGUCACACUAUCAUUAACUGAAUCCAUAGGUUAAUGAGGCGAACCGGGGGAACUGAAACAUCUAAGUACCCCGAGGAAAAGAAAUCAACCGAGAUUCCCCCAGUAGCGGCGAGCGAACGGGGAGGAGCCCAGAGCCUGAAUCAGCAUGUGUGUUAGUGGAAGCGUCUGGAAAGGCGCGCGAUACAGGGUGACAGCCCCGUACACAAAAGCGCAUGUGCUGUGAGCUCGAUGAGUAGGGCGGGACACGUGGUAUCCUGUCUGAAUAUGGGGGGACCAUCCUCCAAGGCUAAAUACUCCUGACUGACCGAUAGUGAACCAGUACCGUGAGGGAAAGGCGAAAAGAACCCCGGCGAGGGGAGUGAAAAAGAACCUGAAACCGUGUACGUACAAGCAGUGGGAGUACCCUUCGGGGUGUGACUGCGUACCUUUUGUAUAAUGGGUCAGCGACUUAUAUUCUGUAGCAAGGUUAACCGUAUAGGGGAGCCGGAGGGAAACCGAGUCUUAAC